AGGACGAACGCUGGCGGCGUGCUUAACACAUGCAAGUCGAGCGGAAAGGCCCUUCGGGGUACUCGAGCGGCGAACGGGUGAGUAACACGUGAGUAAUCUGCCCCUAGCUCUGGGAUAGCUCCGGGAAACCGGGAUUAAUACCAGAUACGACCACUUUAGACAUCUUCUGUGGUGGAAAGAACUUCGGCUAGGGAUGAACUCGCGGCCUAUCAGCUUGUUGGUGAGGUAACGGCUCACCAAGGCGACGACGGGUAGCCGGCCUGAGAGGGCGACCGGCCACACUGGGACUGAGACACGGCCCAGACUCCUACGGGAGGCAGCAGUGGGGAAUAUUGCGCAAUGGGCGAAAGCCUGACGCAGCGACGCCGCGUGGGGGAUGAAGGCUUCGGGUUGUAACCCUUUCAGCAGGGACGAAGCGAAAGUGACGGUACCUGCAGAAGAAGCGCCGGCUAACUACGUGCCAGCAGCCGC
rnacentral:rRNA from 1 species